GAUGAACGCUGGCGGCGUGCCUAAUACAUGCCAGUCGAGCGAACGGACGAGAAGCUUGCUUUUCUGAUGUUAGCGGCGGACGGGUGAGUAACACGUGGAUAACCUACCUAUAAGACUGGGAUAACUUCGGGAAACCGGAGCUAAUACCGGAUAAUAUUUUGAACCGCAUGGUUCAAAAGUGAAAGACGGUCUUGCUGUCACUUAUAGAUGGAUCCGCGCUGCAUUAGCUAGUUGGUAAGUUAACGGCUUACCAAGGCAACGAUGCAUAGCCGACCUGAGAGGGUGAUCGGCCACACUGGAACUGAGACACGGUCCAGACUCCUACGGGAGGCAGCAGUAGGGAAUCUUCCGCAAUGGGCGAAAGCCUGACGGAGCAACGCCGCGUGAGUGAUGAAGGUCUUCGGAUCGUAAAACUCUGUUAUUAGGGAAGAACAUAUGUGUAAGUAACUGUGCACAUCUUGACGGUACCUAAUCAGAAAGCCACGGCUAACUACGUG
rnacentral:rRNA from 1 species